rnacentral:rRNA from 1 species
AACGAACGCUGGCGGCAGGCCUAACACAUGCAAGUCGAGCGAAGCCUUCGGGCUUAGCGGCGGACGGGUGAGUAACGCGUGGGAACGUGCCCUUUGCUACGGAAUAGCCCCGGGAAACUGGGAGUAAUACCGUAUGUGCCCUUCGGGGGAAAGAGUUAUCGGCAAAGGAUCGGCCCGCGUUGGAUUAGGUAGUUGGUGGGGUAAUGGCCUACCAAGCCGACGAUCCAUAGCUGGUUUGAGAGGAUGAUCAGCCACACUGGGACUGAGACACGGCCCAGAAUCCUACGGGAGGCAGCAGUGGGGAAUCUUAGACAAUGAGGGAAACCCUGAUCUAGCCAUGCCGCGUGAUCGAUGAAGGCCUUAGGGUUGUAAAGAUCUUUCAGUGGGGAAGAUAAUGACUGUACCCACAGAAGAAGCCCCGGCUAACUCCGUGCCAGCAGCCGCCGUAAGAC